rnacentral:rRNA from 1 species
UGCAGUCGAGCGCCCUCUUCGGAGGGAGCGGCGGACGGGUUAGUAACGCGUGGGAACGUGCCCAGAUCUAAGGAAUAGCCACUGGAAACGGUGAGUAAUACCUUAUACGCCCUUCGGGGGAAAGAUUUAUCGGAUUUGGAUCGGCCCGCGUUAGAUUAGGUAGUUGGUGGGGUAAUGGCCUACCAAGCCUACGAUCUAUAGCUGGUUUUAGAGGAUGAUCAGCAACACUGGGACUGAGACACGGCCCAGACUCCUACGGGAGGCAGCAGUGGGGAAUAUUGGACAAUGGGCGAAAGCCUGAUCCAGCCAUGCCGCGUGAGUGAAGAAGGCCUUAGGGUUGUAAAACUCUUUCAACGGUGAAGAUAAUGACGGUAACCGUAGAAGAAGCCCCGGCUAAUUUCGUGCCAGCAGCCGCGGUAAUACGAAAGGGGCUAGCGUUGUUCGGAAUUACUGGGCGUAAAGCGCACGUAGGCGGCCUUGUAAGUUGGGGGUGAAAUCCCGGGGCUCAACCCCGGAACUGCCUCCAAAACUACAAAGCUAGAGGAUGUGAGAGGUGAGUGGAAUUCCGAGUGUAGAGGUGAAAUUCGUAGAUAUUCGGAAGAACACCAGUGGCGAAGGCGACUCACUGGCACAUUUCUGACGCUGAGGUGCGAAAGUGUGGGGAGCAAACAGGAUUAGAUACCCUGGUAGUCCACACCGUAAACGAUGAAUGCUAGUUGUUGGCAGGCAUGCCUGUCGGUGACGCAGCUAACGCAUUAA